rnacentral:rRNA from 1 species
UGGGGGAUAUUGCACAAUGGGCGAAAGCCUGAUGAAGCGACGCCGCGUGGGGGAUGAAGGCCUUCGGGUUGUAAACUUCUUUUGCUCUGAACAAGGCAUGCUAAUGGGUGUGUUGAGUGUAGGGGUUGAUUAGCGCCGGCUAACUACGUGCCAGCAGCAGCGGUAAUACGUAGGGCGCGAGCGUUGUCCGGAAUUAUUGGGCGUAAAGGGCUUGUAGGUGGCUGGUUGCGUCUGUCGUGAAAGCUCAUGGCUUAACUGUGGGUUUGCGGUGGGUACGGGCUGGCUUGAGUGCAGUAGGGGAGGCUGGAAUUCCUGGUGUAGCGGUGGAAUGCGCAGAUAUCAGGAGGAAUACCGGUGGCGAAGGCGGGUCUCUGGGCUGUUACUGACACUGAGGAGCGAAAGCAUGGGGAGCGAACAGG